GGCCUGUAGCUCAGUGGCAGAGCACUUGCUUUGAAUGUGCAAGGAACUGGGUUCAAUUCUCAGCACCA
rnacentral:tRNA from 1 species